rnacentral:misc_RNA from 1 species
AAUAAUGAGUUUUAGAAAGUGCAUAUUUUUCAAUCAUUCUUUGAGAUAUGCCAGAUAAGUUGAUUAUUUCAUGGUUUCCCAAUGAGUGGUUAUUAUUUCAUGUUUGCCAAUGAGUGGUUAUUUUGUGUAUGGUCCAUACCAUGGUAUUAAAUUGCAGUCGCGGGUAACAAAAACAGGCCUGUAAUGUAAUAAUAACGGCCUGGCGCUAG